UGAUCACAUCAGUGAUGAGCUUCCACUUCAUGGUCCGUGUUUUUGAAACUUAGUGAUAUUUAACGAAGUUCUGAGUUUGAGCAUCAAGACUUGUCAGUUUACGGUUUUCAUCACUUAAACAUGAGGAAUUAAGUUUGUGAUGCUUUAUUUAUUCCAGCCUGCCCAUGCACAAGAUGACCAACACAGACCUGAGCAGGAUUCUGAAGAGUGAGGAGAUCCAGAAAGCACUUCGUACACCAAGCAAGAAGAUCAACCGCAGAGUACUGAAGAAGAAUCCUCUGAAGAAUCUGAGGAUAAUGCUCAAACUGAACCCUUAUGCCAAGACUGUAAGACGUCUUGCUAUCCUCUGGCAUGACCCUACUGUAAGAACUGGCACAAUUUGCAAUAUAAGCAAAAAGUGUUGACUCAAAAUGAUUGUGACUUUAAACAGACACAGACCUGAGCAGGAUUCUGAAGAGUGAGGAGAUCCAGAAAGCACUUCGUACACCAAGCAAGAAGAUCAACUGCAGAGUACUGAAGAAGAAUCCUCUGAAGGAUUGACCUGAAUCUUUAUGCCAUGACUGCAAGAUGUCUUGCCAUCCUCGAGCAUGACCCUUCUGUAAAAACCUACAAAAUUUGAGGUGCAUGCAAAAUUGUAGACUUGAGUUGUUGUGACUUUAAAAUCUGUUUUAUUCUCUCCAUAGAUCAAGGCUAAAGGAAAGAAGGGAGCACCUGCCAAACCCAAGGCAUAAAUCUCUGUGCUUGCAGAGUUCAGUGAUGAAUAAAUAAUUUGUUUGCAUGA